UCCCAUGCUGUGACCCUCUAGAGGAAGCACUUUCUGUUUGUUGUCUGAGAAAAAACAAAGUGAUUCCCUUUAGAGUGUUACCAUUUGGGA
ensembl:miRNA